rnacentral:sRNA from 1 species
GCCGUUGCCUCGCGGGAACGGCAAGCUGCCUGAGUCUCAGGCUUUUCGGUGUUGCUCGUAUCCAUGUUGCUCGCAAGGAGGAUGUGGCUAUGAGGG